rnacentral:lncRNA from 1 species
CGCCAAGUACUCUCAGUUUUGCACAUGCCCAAGGGUCUUGGGGGACAGGAUGAUCUUUCUCUGCUGAUUUUCUGAUGUUUUCAGUCAACCUUGCUCUCUGGUUUCUUCAUUCUUGUCCCAUUUCUUCACCUCCUGCCUCAGGUCCCCAGAGCCACUCCAGGCAGAGGCUCAGCCUGUCCGCAGGAAGGAGCACCUAUAAGGACAGAAGUGCCCACCGAGGGGCGGCCCCCAGCUCCUCUGAGCCCACCUCACAGCCAGCGUGCUGCCUGGGCUGCCGGCCAAGGAUGAAUAACACCCACCUUCCUGAAAUGCUGUGGGAUCCUGAGAGACAGAUCGUGCAGUGCCUGGCACAGUCAGAUGCAGUGUCCACCUUUACACUGUUGUGAGCGGCAGUCACUGGGUGAGGUGGCCAAACCUGGCCACUCCACUCCGAUGAGGACACUCCAUGGCUAAUCCCGUGUCUCUGGGCUCACCCUCCAUGCUCUCCCUUCUGUCCUCAUUGCUACAUCCCCUCUCCUCUCCUCCUACCUGCCAGGAUUGGCAUCUCUUUAAUUAUAACGUCUGUGUUGCUUUAGGAGCUGUGUAAUUCCUCCUGACAGCCUCCUAUUUAAAAUGA